AUUGAACGCUGGCGGCAGGCCUAACACAUGCAAGUCGAGCGGCAGCGGGACCUUCGGGUUGCCGGCGAGCGGCGGACGGGUGAGUAAUGCCUAGGAAUCUGCCUGUUAGUGGGGGAUAACGCGGGGAAACUCGCGCUAAUACCGCAUACGUCCUACGGGAGAAAGCGGGGGCUCUUCGGACCUCGCGCUAACAGAUGAGCCUAGGUCGGAUUAGCUAGUUGGUGGGGUAAUGGCCCACCAAGGCGACGAUCCGUAACUGGUCUGAGAGGAUGAUCAGUCACACUGGAACUGAGACACGGUCCAGACUCCUACGGGAGGCAGCAGUGGGGAAUAUUGGACAAUGGGCGAAAGCCUGAUCCAGCCAUGCCGCGUGUGUGAAGAAGGUCUUCGGAUUGUAAAGCACUUUAAGUCGGGAGGAAGGACUGUAGGCUAAUACCUUGCAGUUUUGACGUUACCGACAGAAUAAGCACCGGCUAACUUCGUGCCAGCCGCCGCAGUAACAC
rnacentral:rRNA from 1 species